UUUAGUGUUUAGAAUAUGAAUCCCUCAUCUUGUCACUGACCAGCUUCUUUGUCCUCAGGUAUCCCUUCCACUUCUCCUUCUUUGUCCCUAGAAUCCAUGGUUAGCACCAGAUUCUGCUAAACUCUCCCACCACCUGAUAACUUGUUCCUGUCUCUCCAUUAGUAGAGCCUCCUGAUGCCUAGCACAAUGGGCCCCUUGAAGACCUGCCCUCCCCUGGAAGACAAGCACAACCAUUCCUCUGAGCUGGAAGAGACCUUGGAGUUUAUCUGACAAAAGAGAGACUUGCAGUGACUUCCAUGACAUCACAGAGCUGUUUCAGUGCAAAGCCAGCUUCAGAACCUUUCUCUUCCAUCACUUGAUGCCACCUCUUCAACUUCUCUGGGUCUAGUCCAGGAGCAGCAGGUACAAUUGGCUUCCCAAAGAGAGUUUUCAUUAAUUUCUUGCAUUAGUAAUUGAACUCUAGACCACUCUAAAAGAUACCUUUGGGAGCAAGAACUCUCUUCAGGAUCCAGGCCUUCUGCUCCUAAAUCCUCUGGUUGUAUAGGGGCAGACCCUGUGUUGGCCACCUGGUCCUUAGUGUUGCCUGAGACUGGCAGUGAGACGGCUCAACUUGAGGGCCCAAUAUCAGGUAGUAAAAAGAGGUGUUAUUUAUUGAAUCUCCUCUCUGCAU
rnacentral:lncRNA from 1 species